AAAAAAAAAAAAAAAAAAAAAAAGAGGGGAGGGAAGUGGCAGAGGGCAACAUGGAGAGGUGGUAGCCUGAGAAGGACCUGGCCUGCGGUUGCCACCCCUGCCAAGCCAAGCAGUGCAGGCGCCUCAGGAACUGGAAUAAACAGCCAAAUGGACCCUCCCUCGGAGCCUCCAGGAGGAAUGAGCCCUGUUCGCGCCUUGAUUUCAGCCUGGAGAGACCCCUUUCGGACUUGGACUCACAGAACUGUGAGACGGUGGACCCUAGCAUUGUCGCUGCUGCCUUCCUGAUCUGUCAUGGCACUGUGGUUGUGGAAGAGGGGACCCCAUCACCCCGGGAGCAAGUUGGAGAGUCUAUGGUUGAAGUCACCACAGGAACUGGAGAGGUCGUGACCCCAGCCAUCCUGGCUCCGCAGAGGUUCCCCCGCCACGCCGCCCCCAGCGUCACUCGAAUAACAAGGCCGGAUCAGAG